rnacentral:tRNA from 1 species
GCCGCCGUGGUGAAAUGGUAUACACGAGAGACUUAAAAUCUCUUGGGAGCAAUCCCGUGUCGGUUCGAAUCCGACCGGCGGCA